ensembl:lncRNA
GCCCCAGCAAGGGACGCCCGCCUCAGCCCCGUUUCCCCGGAGUCCGGAGCGCGCGGGGGGGCGCCUGCGACCCGGCCCCCUCGCCAGACGGCGGAAGGGGGUGGUAGCUAUCCUUCCCGGGGCGGUGAGGGGCAGGGUCGUGCAGUUUGAAAGGUCAGGUUGUUUGGUGACAUCUGGGGCCCGUCUUGUAAAGAAUAAGUUUGGGAGGGGCGUCUGCAUCGCUGGCACGAACGCUCGGGGCAGGCGUGCAGGCGAGGGGAAGCGCGUGUCGUGACGGGAGGCGAUGAGAUCAGCCUGAAUAACCGCAGCACGGGGCCAGGCAAUGCAGCCAGUCACGCAGCCGCUGCAGGCCGGGCGCAGCGUCUCCUUCGGUGGCCCCGCCGCCCCGAGCGCCGGUUCCAAUAGAGGGAGCCGGGGGCGGAAUAGCCCCUCCCAAGCCGGGCCGGUGAGGGCGUCAGAAAUAUUCCGAGGGGACGGCGAGGCAGCUGAGAGCCCAGGAGAAAGCCCAACAAAAUGGGUCUUGCACGGUCAAGGGGAUGGAUUCUAUUAGGAAGUUACCUUAAGAGACGCACGGUGAAAAUCACCGCUGUGAAUCAGUGUUCUACUCUGUACCCUCAGUAGGUAACUUUAAAAACUGUAACAUUGAACUCAGAAGUCAUUAAAAUAUGCUUUUAAUUUGCUUAUGUUACUUCGUUUAACAGGCAGUAGACACAGCUUGCAUAUUUGUGCAUGAAAUUUAAUCUAUACACGCAAGUCUGGAGGCUUGGUUUGGCAAGAGGAAUAAUUGUACUAUGCAAGGCACUGGUCUUCAUCUGAAGAUUUAUCAGCAUACAAGACAGAUGUGGUCUCUUGCCUUGGAUCACACAGUUAAUGGAGGAGCUGGAACCAGAAAAAAAACUGUAGAUUUUUAAUUAAAAGAACUUCCAUUAAUCAAAUGCUGACUCUAUACCAGGCCCGAAGUGUUUCACCUACACUAAGUCAUAUAAUCUCUACUUAUGGUAGGGCAGAACACACCUUCCCACUCCUAGGGCCUCCUGGCCCAUCUCUCCUGCCUCCUUUUCUCUGCCCAAGAGGGAAAUGGCUUAUCUGUGUUUGGAAAGAUUAACAGAGCCCAAGUAAUUCAGUCCCAUCUCUUAUCUCUCGUUUUUGGUAGGCAGAACUGGCUGUCUGAAAAAAGUUUGUUCAGCUUUGCUCUUACAGAUCCUAUGGAGAACUGGGGCAGAAGAUCAGCAAGACACAUACUGGG